rnacentral:rRNA from 1 species
GUAGGCAGCGAGCGUUGUUCGGAGUUACUGGGCGUAAAGGGUGUGUAGGCGGUUGUUUAAGUUUGGUGUGAAAUCUCCCGGCUCAACUGGGAGGGUGCGCCGAAUACUGAAUGACUUGGAGUGCGGGAGAGGUGAGUGGAAUUCCUGGUGUAGCGGUGAAAUGCGUAGAUAUCAGGAGGAACACCGGUGGUGUAGACGGCUCACUGGACCGUAACUGACGCUGAGACACGAAAGCGUGGGUAGCAAACAGGAUUAGAUACCCUGGUAGUCCACGCCCUAAACGAUGCAUAUUUGGUGUGGGCAGUUCAUUCUGUCCGUGCCGGAGCUAACGCGUUAAAUAUGCCGCCUGGGGAGUACAGUCGCAAGGCUG